GUUGUGUAGGUGCUCGAAAGAGCUUAAUAGGGAAAUCGGUUUAUUCCGGUACGGUCCCGCCGCUGUGUUGUGGAGCUUAUCUCUUUAUGCCACUGGAUUUAUAGAUCUGGGAAGGUUGAGAUAAGUGAUGAAACUAAGUCAGAAGAACUGCCUGCAUAU
rnacentral:ncRNA from 1 species